UGGGGAAUAUUGCACAAUGGGGGAAACCCUGAUGCAGCGACGCCGCGUGAGUGAAGAAGUAUUUCGGUAUGUAAAGCUCUAUCAGCAGGGAAGAAAGUGACGGUACCUGAAUAAGAAGCCCCGGCUAACUACGUGCCAGCAGCCGCGGUAAUACGUAGGGGGCAAGCGUUAUCCGGAUUUACUGGGUGUAAAGGGAGUGUAGACGGCAAGGCAAGUCUGAAGUGAAAGCCCGGUGCUUAACGCCGGGACUGCUUUGGAAACUGUUUAGCUGGAGUGCCGGAGAGGUAAGCGGAAUUCCUAGUGUAGCGGUGAAAUGCGUAGAUAUUAGGAAGAACACCAGUGGCGAAGGCGGCUUACUGGACGGUAACUGACGUUGAGGCUCGAAAGCGUGGGGAGCAAACAG
rnacentral:rRNA from 1 species